rnacentral:rRNA from 1 species
CUUGAAGUGGCCGCCUGGGACUCCCUCCUCCAGGACAUUGCUCUUAUGCCGAUGGAUGUGGCGGAGGACCGGGAUGUUCUGUCCUGGCACCUCGAGCCUUCUGGAUGUUUCUCCACGAAGUCCUUAUACAGCGCCAUUGCUCCAUCGUCAGCCAUGGAACCAUUUAGCCUGGUCUGGGAUAUCCGUCUCCCGCUGAAGAUCAAGAUCUUCCUGUGGCAAUGGAUCCGUGGCCGGCUCCCCUCCGGUGUUGAGGUCCUCAAGCGGAAUGGCCCGGGUGAUGGGAGGUGCCCCAUCUGUGGCACCAUUGAGGAUGCUAACCACAUCUUUUUCUCGUGCCACUCUGCCCAGUUCCUUUGGGCCUGCUUCCGCGAAACGGUUGGUGGACAGUGGUGUAAUACCAACUUCCCCGAACUGCUUGCCGAGCUUAACGCCUGCCCUGCCCGCUACCGCCAUAUUAGAUGGCUGUGCGUGGGGGUUCUCGCAUGGACGCUUUGGAACAUUCGUAAUAAGCUUGUUAUUCAGAAGGUGCUCCGUCGUCGUGCGACUGACACAAUCUUCAAAUUGUGUGGUUACCUGCAGUUUUGGCGGCCGCUUAGCCGCCCCCAGGACCGGGACGUCAUCACCGCCCUCCUCUCCGAUCUCCGCUCGAUGGCGCUCCGCGUGGCUCCCCCAUUGCUGCCUCCUCCUCCUGAGCCUGACUAG